rnacentral:rRNA from 1 species
UACGGAGGGGGCAAGCGUUAUUCGGAAUUAUUGGGCGUAAAGGGCGCGUAGGCGGCUAGAUGUGUCAAAGGUGAAAUCCCUCGGCUCAACUGAGGAACUGCCUUUGAAACUGUCUGGCUUGAGGCCGGGAGUGGGUAGCGGAAUUCCCAGUGUAGCGGUGAAAUGCGUAGAUAUUGGGAGGAACACCAGUGGCGAAGGCGGCUACCUGGACCGGUUCUGACGCUGAGGCGCGAAAGCUAGGGGAGCAAACAGG